rnacentral:lncRNA from 1 species
GAGAUCACGAGAUGGCGGCGUCCGUUACAAAUGGAGAAUUUACCUCCAUGAUUAAUGCCAUAAUGCGUGUUUCUUCAUCUGUUUUGUAGGCUUUUUUUCUGGAGGCUGCCUAUAAAUCGGGCUUUCUGGCUCAUCUCCUGACUUCGCAUUUCUGCCGUGGGACGAUAGAAGUGUCAUGUCAACUUUAACAAGCUUAGUUGGAGCUGCCGGCAGGUGCCUCAACGUGAUAUACAAGGGCCUAUCAGCACAGUCUGGCCAACUGCUACAGCCCUUAGGUGUAUCAGCAGAGUUACAGCAAGUGAGAAAUGCAGUGCAUCGCUUUUUUCCACGUCCAAGCGAGCACAAGAGAAUCACCAAGUCUGGCUUCAAGAAACGCAUCUCGACUAAAAAUGGGAAAAAAAUCCUUUUUCGUCGCAUGCUUAAAGGAAGACAUGUGUUGUCCCAUUGACAUUAUAUGUCACCAUGCAUUAGAGUAGUCGUGUAUUAGUAGCCAGUAAACUACAUGUUUGUAUAUGUACCUA